rnacentral:lncRNA from 1 species
UCGAAGCAAAAAAUUUGUUGCCUUCCUCAUAUUUUCUAUGUAAAUCAAGCUUCUAAUCAUCAAGGUAUUCUCUGGUUUAUGCUUUUUUGAUCCAUAUGCAUAUUGGGUUUUCUCUCUUUCUCAUUUGAUAGCUUCGAUUUGUGAAAUCCACUUCUGAGCUGAUAUUCAAUGUUAGUUUGAAAAUGAUUCUUUCCUUUGGAAGAGAGGUGAACUUGGGCUCAAUGAUCAAUUGUGUUUCAGCUUAGAAAAUUGUGAACUUAGGCUCAAUCACCUAUAGCAUUUAGAAAAGAAGGUAUAUAAAAACGCAAUUUAGGAAAAAAAAAAAAGGAAGUUUAAAAAGGGGUUCCUAAGAUGCAUUUGCUGGUUUGGAAGAGGUAGAUUUUCCUUGUCGUGUAAAUGGGUGAACUCGAGUCUUAUAUAAUUAGGGGUAUUUAAAAAUGACCCAUAAUUUGCUUCAAUUUAUCCGUAGUUAAACUGAAAUUAUACAAGUGUUGAUAGAUUGGGUUGGGUUAUUAUUAUUUUUUCAGAUUGAAUUAUAUGUUUCUUAGUUAAAUCAAUAAUUUGACUCAAACCAAUUCUCAUUAUUCUCUGAUAAUGCUCUUACUCCUUUGCUUUUGUUUUAAUUUUAAUUACCCAAUUAAUGCUUCUCCAGCUUUUAAAAAAAAAUAUACAUCUAAUUGCUUUAGUAGCGAUCAUUUUAUUACUAGCUUGGCUUGAUGCAGCCAUUGAAAGCAUAUUACUCACUUGGUAGACUUAAGGUUGAGUUUCCACUCCAUUUAAUACCUUACACAAUCUUUUUUUUUUUUUAAGAAAAAAACACAACGAAUUUAUAUAUGGAAGAUUUACAAUUUAGUCUCUAGAUAUUGACAUUAUUAACAAGUCAGUCUUUACAUUUUUUAAAAUCUAUUAAAAUAUUCUCUGUCUUUUCUCUCCAUCAACGAAAUAGUCCUUCUGUCUAUUUCUGAUGUUAAAAAUAUAGCAAAAUAUCAAAUUAUCCCCCUUCUUCUCGUCCUCCUUCUUCUUCUCCUUCUAGGGACCAGGGACUAUUUUUGUUGACGCGGCGAAAUGAUAAAAACGUUUUAAUUGAUCAGGAAAAAGAUAAGGACGUUUUAUUAGAUUUCUGAAAAUGUAGGGACUAACUUGUUAAUAAUCACAAUACUCAAAGACUAAAUCAGAGAUUUUAUUUGAAAGCAAAAUUGGGUUUUAAAAUUUUUUUCUCUCAUCUUUCAUUUAUUUUUAAUGAAAAAGAGGACGGAAAAACUAUUUUAUUGACGGAGAGAAAAUAUAAGGACGUUUUAAUGGGUUUCUGAAAAUGCAGAGACUGAUUUGUUAAUAAUAAAACCGCGAUCACAGCCGCGGUCGGGGAUAACGGAAACAGGCCUGGCGCUACGCAAAUUUUUCAAAUCAAUUUGCAAAGUUCAUAAAAUGAUAUGAUAUCAAUAGAUUUAAUUCAGAACAAUGUAUACAAAUAUAUAAUAAACAUAAAUAUAUCAAAUAUAUACUAUUUAGCUUAAAUUAAAUACCAUAUGGGAAAUUACCAACCUCACUACCACCAAAAAGAACGUUGUGCAGGUUCUUGUUGGUCUUGACUUUGGCUUUCUGAACUUUGAUCAUUAAGGUGAUGCUGCUGAUGUUGAUAGUAUUGUUGUGGAUCAAAACUGAAUAAGGAACCACCACCCAUAAUAUCAUUAGGAUCACCAUAAGUUGGUUGAGGGUACGAUGAAGCUGACUUUGCUCCUGAUAAGGGGUAAUAUGAAUAUGUAAGAGGAUAAUUUGUUGGAUAUGGCACCCCUCUAAAUUGGCCAUAGAGCCCAUAAUUUGAUGAAGUAUCUUCAGAUGAUGAGCUACCACUUAGUCCACCACCAUACAUAAAAUUUGGAUUAUACGUGCAAAAGUCGUAUCCAUAAUUUAAUGAAUCAAUUGACCCCUCAUAUGCAACACCCUUACCCCAUGUUUGGGAUGUUUCAGCACCACCAGUACAAUUAUGAGAGCCUCGUGAUUUUUGAUAUGUACACAUCGGAAAUGGAUCAGAAGCAAUUCUAAUUCCACUUUGUCUUUGAGUAGGUGGAUCUUGUGAACUACGACUACCACCUCCUUCAACUGUUGUUCCUCUUCCACCUUGAUCACCACCACCAUCAUCAUCAUCACCAGCACCACCUUGUUGUCCUUGAGUUUGAGUGGCAGAUUCAGACUGUGAUGGAGCAUUUUUAUCAAUACCCACCUCUUCACCAUCCAACCAUGGAUUUGGUUGCCCAUCAAGCAAUAGAGAUUCACUUUCCUCCAACCAAGAGUUUAGCGGAUCAUCUUUGUAGAAAAAUAAUAUUUUGUUGUUAUAUUUCACAAUAGAGAUUACAACCUAUUUAUACAUGAGAGAUGAUAUCUAAACAGUAAGGAAAAUCAAGUCUAUGAUUAUACAAUUCUAAGAUUAAGCAACUGAUCCAUCUAUCAAUAUUUAGGUCCUAUAUUAACAUAUUUACUUCCUAUAACCUAUAACAAUCUUCUUCAAAAAUAUAAUCUAAAUUAAGUGGAUCGUAGCUCCUGUCUAACUCUUGUUGGUUUUUUCUUGUCACAUUUCUAAUUUUCAGGCUCAUAUUGUAGUGCACAAAGACAAGUGCAUGUAAUUUUUGAUACUUCAAUCUGUUUCUUGUCUUUGUGUGAAUGAGAGAAAAUGUGCUUCAAUUUCUCUCACACUUUGAAGCCGAAGUUGUUUGGCGGCUGCAAAAUAUUUUUAAAUUUUUAUUAUUUUAAUGAACUUAGUUGUAUAAAAAUGAAUGAACAAAAAUAAUUUAUACUUAUUUUAUAAACUUAGUACCUGGAUUAGUGAAUUUAAUUGCCUUUUGCGCUAAAACUGUUCCAAAACUCUCUAUUUUGUCUCAAAAAAGUAAGGUCUACAUGUUCCAAAUUCCAGUAAGUUAACUUCAAGUUCAAAAGCAACAGUUCAAGCUUCAAGCCUUCAACUACACUAACUUAGUAAUACUUAAGAAUUAGCUUGUUACUUACUUUAUCCCCCUCUAGACGUUGAAUCACAUUUUUGAGACCCAACAUGAUCUAUCCUGCAAAAUAAAAUAUGAAGAUAGAUAAUAAGUUAUCUCUUAAUUUAAUAAUUUAAUUUUCUAACGGACAAUAGACUCUAAAGCAAUGAAGUUUGUGGCAAAUCUAGUGAUGCCAGGUCGAAUAAUAUCUCUAUUGUCCAUGAGUUUCUUUAUAUAAUUGACCACCCUAUUAUGAUUAUAAAUAAAUUGCGUAAUUACAUUGGCUUGGUCAAUUAUUUUUUUCACACUCUUCUUCUUUCCAAUAUCUUUUAAAAUCAAAUCAAUACAAUGAGCACUACAAGCAGUCUAAUAUAGUUUAGGGAAUUUCUCCCUCAGUUUCUUCCCUCCUAAUUUAAUGACAGCUUCUUUGUCCGUUACCACUUGGACAAUUUUUUGAAAGCCUAUUUCUUCCACUACUUCUUUCAUAAUUUUAAAAUAGUAUUCUCCAUCUUUAUGUUCCACAUUGGAUGCAUCAAUAGACUUGUGAAACACUGUGCCUCUGUUUGAGUAGACAAGGAAAUUUACUAUACUCAUACGUGUUGGCCCACUCCAACCAUCACACAUUAUAGUAACUCCCCUCUUCUUCCAUAUCCCAUCAAAUGAGACUAUAUAUUUUUUCAUCUCAUUAUACUCAUUUUUCAUAUAAACUUCUGCAAUUUCAUAAGCACUAGGUGGAGAUACAUUAGGCCCGAUUUCUGCUGUUGUUCUUAAAAGUGGCUUUGUCCACGGUGACUCAACAAUACUGAAGAGAAGCCUAUUAUGUAUAACAAAUUUCCAAAUGCUUUCAACAUUUUCUCCUUUUGUGUCUUCAACCAUUUAGUUUUUAACUUUGGCUGCUUCUGUUGAGCUCUGUUUCUCUCUAUUUCAACUUCUGUGCAGCCAACCGAGAUGCCGAUGUAGAUACUUCUGCAUAUCUUUGUGCUUCUCUACCUCUCUCACGUGUAGUAGCAGAACGACCCAACACUUGUCCGCUACUACCACCAACAUCAAAUCUAGAUCCAGUUCUCCUUCUAAAUUCAUCCUCUUCCAACUACCUCAUGCUCGUCCGUCUCGCCAUUUCCAUUUUGAUGUCCUCCUCCUCCUCCUCCUCCUCCUCUUCAUCAUCUUCGAUUCUAUUCAUAUUUAUAAUUUCUUCUUCUAAUUCUGUUUCUCUUUUUUCUUUAUUCUUUUUAGCUAAUUGGUAUUCUUUCAGGAUAGCGGCUAUAUCCUUCUUAACUUGAGAAGAAACUUUCUGACAACCUGCAAUUUGAUCAGGUAUGUUAGCUAAGUGCAAAUUCAAUAUUGUUAUUCCACCUGUGACUUUUCUCCCACAGAAAUUGCCAAUCAUUUCUCCUUUUUUCCUUUUAGGUGGUACAAACUUUCACCCAAUAUCAUCACUUAGUUUACCACCCCUUGAGUAAAACCAGAACCACUUCCACGAGGCAUUUUCAAUGCAAAUAUUUAAUAACUGUUCAUAAAAAUGAAAAGAUAUCAAAUGUGAAAUACAUGGAAGGCAAAUAUUUUUUUUCAUAACUAAUAUUUUAAUUUUAACCUAACUCUAUACAUUAAUUUCUAUUUAACACAAAUUAUAUAGAUAUGAAAUUUUUAAUUGUCCAACUACAAGUCUUAGUCUACCACUAUUAAUUUAACUCAAAACUAACACUUUAAUCCACAAAAAUUAAACAAAGAAAAAAAAUACAGCAACUAAAAAUAAUUUAAUUUCAUAAUAAUUUCUGAAAAAUAGUCUAAACUAACAAAAACCAUACAAUUUUUAUAGAUCGGACAAAUUAAUAACCUCAAAGUAUAUUUUUAACUUAAAACUACAAAUUUAAUCUACAAAAAUUAAAUAAAAAAAUACAGCAGCUCUGAUUCCUCUGAAUUCUGAAAGUAAAAAUAUACUAUUAAUUUAACUCAAACCUAACACUUUAAUCCACAAAAAUGAAACAAAAAAAAAUACAGCAACUAAAAUUAAUUUAAUUUCAUAAUAAUUUCUGAAAAAUAGUCUAAACUAACAAAAACCAUACAAUCUUUAUAGAUCGGACAAAUUAACAGCUCAAAUCAUAUUGUUAAUCCAAAACUACAAAUUUAAAAAAAAAACAAAAAAUACAACAACUGUGCAAGUAAAAAUACACAGAACUAUUAACUCAUCUUUUAGAAGAAAUUUCCUUGAAAUGAAAUAGUUAAUGGUAGAUUUAAGCUUGUAAAUGAGAAAUGUUUAGGGAAGCUUGAGAUUGAGAUAUUUGAGAGAAAAGGAAGAGAAAGUUAGAAAAAACUUAGUUGCAAAAUGAGUUUCUGGCUUUCUGCUGUACUGCUUGCUGGAGAAGAAGGAAAAAAGUGGUCAAAUUCAAUGCAUAGCUAGCUUCUGAAAUCUGAAUAUAUUCUCUGAAAUUCUGAAUUUUGUGUUGGGAUAAAGUAACGGCCGUUACCGUUACAUAACUAUUGGUAACGGCCGUUACCAUUACGUAACUGUCGUUACGGACGCAACUCAAGGGGGGCCUUUACCUUGAUACCGUUACAUAACGGCCAUUACGUAAUACCAUGAUAAUAGUAAUACUCAAGGACUAAAUAGUAAAUCUCCCUUUAUAUAUAUGUAUGUUUCUAUAUACACACACCCCUUGUUGAUAGAGUUGGAAGAUACAAAUUCUUUUCAAGCAAUUUAUUUGUCUAUGAAUUUUUUACAUUUAGAAAAUAAUUGUCAAAGUGCUCUGUCUCCCGUUUGAUUUGCAAACACCAAAUUGCUAUUUUCUCUUUCUAAUUUCCUUUGUUUGUGUGGUUCAUUUGUUAUUACAAUUGAUUUCUUUUUUUUAGUUUAUCAGGAGACGAGUGAGCCUCUUCAUUACCGAUAUUCUAACUGUCUAUCAUCAUGGCAUCUUCCUUCACAGCUCGAAAAUGGAAGUAUGAUGUGUUUCUUAGCUUUAGAGGAGAGGAUACCCGUGAUAAUUUUACUAGCCAUCUCUAUGAUGCUUUAUCUUGUAAAAAAAUCAAGACCUUCAUAGACAAUGACCUUGAAAGAGGGCAAGAAAUAACCCGAGUCAUUUUGAGAACAAUUGAAGAAUCAAUGAUUUCUAUAAUCAUUUUCUCCAAAACUUAUGCAUCUUCUCCAUGGUGCUUGGAUGAAAUGGUGAAAAUACUUGAGUGCAGGGAAGUUCAUGGUCAAACAGUUUUACCAAUUUUUUAUCAUGUAGAUCCUUCCGAUGUUGAAGGUCAAAGUGGAAGUUUUGGAGAUGCAUUUAUUGAACUUGAGAAGAACUUCAAGGAGAAAAUGGAAAGGAUGACCAAGUGGAGGGCUGACUUGAUGAAAGUUUCAAGGAUAUCUGGAUGGGAUUCCCGGGUUAUAAGGUGUGUGUCAAUUUCUUUUCAAAUGGCUCCAGAAACAUGUCUUUCUCUUUUAAGAAAUAUGAAAAGGGAAAAAAAAAACUUGUUUUGAUAAUUUUUUUUUUUUCAUAACUAGACAGUAAAAAAAAAACCAGAAUAAAUAGCAAAUGGACCCUAAAAUAGCCUUUUGCUAGAUAAAUCUCUGUCAUAGUUCAUGAAACCCACAUGAGUUGAACUAGCGAACGAGUGUAUUAAAUACUUGCUUGUAUAUGUUGUUAGGUUUACAGAAAUUGGCCUUGUUAUGUCUAUACCAUCUCAACCAUUAAAUUCAAAUUUAGUGGUUGAGAUUCAUUUUGUAAUAUAUAGCCAACCAUUUCUAUGAACCAAAAAGGUUUUCCUUUCACCAAAAUAUCCGUUAGAGUUGUAGCUCUAACAGAGGGAAGGAAGAGAGAAUAGGAAAGAGGGUGGGAGAAGAAGAAGAAGAAGAAGAAGAGAAGAAGAGUGUUCGGAUAAGAGAAGAGAAGGGAAUGAGAGAGAAUAAGCUCAGUUUGUAUUAGUAUUUCUAAAUGCCUUUCAUGUGUAUUCCACUGCGAUUAUAUUAGCCCAGUAACUAACUUGACAGUUGUACUACCUCUAGCUAUUACAAACUUCUAGCUAUAACAACCCAUUCAACUAUAGUACUUUCCCUCCAAAAGUCUUUAUACAUUUUAUUCCCUCUUAUUUCUAUUUUUCUUCCUAUAAUACGUGACAAUACUCCCCUGGUGGAGAACUUUCUUGAACCCAAGAAAGGGAGAUACCAGGAAACUGAACAACAAUGAAUGACUUGUCUUCUCAAAUGGCAUCUUUAGGAGGAAGAUUGUCUCACUUAAUUAAUCCCUGUCUAACAUGUUCUCCUCCUCUGAGAACAGUUCUAGUCUACAACACCCUCUCUGGAGCCACUAUGAAACUGUCAUCCUGAAUCUGUGGUAGUGCUGUGGAAAUACUAAUAGAGUCCCCAAUCUUUUUUUCUUGAGUAAAAGGCACAUGGAAAACAAGAUGAAGUGAAGAUUUAGGUGGUAAUUCCAGCUUAUAAGAUGAAGGGCCAUAAUAGUUGGCAGAUAGCUUUAAGGAUAGCUUGAGUGCUAAUAAUGUUUGUCUAUAAGGCUGAAGCUUUAAAUAUGCCAAGUCCCCCACAAGAAAUUUCUUUCAGACCUCUUGGUAUCUUCCUGUUGUUACAUUCUGUUUUGAGCAAUUUCUAAAUUUUCUUUCAAGAGUUGCACUAGCCCUUACCUGUCUUGUAGAAAAUUAUCCACAACAUCUACCAUUGUGCCAUCUGGUAAUUCCAUAGAAAAACUCGUAGGAGGAUAUCCAUAUAGUCCUUGAAAAGGAAACAUCUUAAGAGCACUAUGAGGAGUGGAAUUAUACCACCACUCAGCCAUAGGAAGCCAAUGAAUCCAAGUAGUGGGUUUCAAGUGAACCAUGCACUUUAAGUAAUUUUGUAAGUAUUGAUUAACCCUUUUAGUUUGCCCAUCAAAUUAAGGAUGAUGGGCUGGACCAAAGAGUAGUUUGACUCCCAAGGACUUAAACAGCUCUUGCCAAAACAAACUGGUAAGGGCCUUAUCCUCGUCAGAUACUAUGAUCUAGGGAAUGGCAUGCAACUUGUAAAUGUGAUCCAUGAAUACUUUAGCCACUUUAGGAGCAGAGAAGGGACGAGUUAGAGGGAAAAAAUGGGCUAGUUUUGUAAGUCUGCAUAUCACCACUAAAAUAGUCUCCUCUUUUGACUCUGGAAGCCCUUCAAUGAAAUCCAUAUCUAUUUCUUGCCAUGCCUGGGUAGGAAUUGGCAAGGGUUGCAAUAAUCUUGGAUAGGCACAGGUUUCACUCUUGCAUCUUGCACAUGCAUCUAGCAAAUAAGUAGCAUGGACCCCAGAAUGCCCUCCCACCAGGGAGUUGUGGUAAGUUUCCAGUAGCUGCUUUCUUAAGGUUGUAGAAGCUCCAACAUACAUUCUGUUUUUAUAGAACAACACUCCAUUCUUCAGCUGGUAAUUAUUGAGAGCAGUAGGGGCAGUUGAUAAUUGUUGUAUCAAUUCAGUGGCCUUUCAAUCCCCCUCAUAACUGUGCUCCAAGUGUUGCAUCCAAGAUGGAACCACCACUGCUUGCAAGUGAUAUAGUUGUUGCUCAAUAGAACUCAUAGGCCUCCUAGAAAGUGCAUCUACUACUUUAUUCUCUAUUCCCCUUCUAUAGAGAAUUUUAUCGUCAAGACUAAGCAGCUUUAAAAUUACUCUCUGCUGUAGAUUAGUAUACGGUCUUUGUUCCAGGAGGUAUUUAAUACUUUCAUGGUCUGUUUUGAUAAAAAAAUUGCAUUUCUUCUAAAUAAUGCCUCCAUUUGCCGACUAUAAAGGUAAUAGCUAGUAACUUCUCAUAAACAGACGAGCCUUGAUUUUUGGAUCCAGGCAUGGCAUUAUUGACACUGCUCUUCAUUUUGAGUCCCCUUAUGGCUACCCUCUACCUCCUCUCUCUUUUCAUCUUAGGAAGAAUGCAAUAUUGACACUGCUCUUCAGUUUGCUCAAAGAGAUAGCAAAUUUCACAACUCAUUAAAGACAACUUGCUUACUGCGCAAAGCAAGAUGAAGCAGCAAACAGAUAAGAAAAGAACAAAGAGGGAAUUCCAAGAAGGAGCUUAGAUGUAUUUGAAGAUCCAACUCUACAGACAAACCUUCCUAACAGUUAGGAAGCACUUAAAUUUGUCUGCUAGAUACUAUGGCCCUUACCAAGUACCGAAGAAAAUUGGAGCAGUAGCCUAUAAACUCUCACUUGCUCCCAAUGUUCAGCUUCACUCUGUGUUCUGUAUUUCACUAUUCAAGGAAAAAGUGGGAGAGCGAAUACAGAUAAAUCAGAAGCUUCCAUCCUUUUACCAAGAAGCAGCCAUAAUUGCCCCUGAGAAAGUCUUAAAGUUUAGAGUCAUCCUUCGAGAUGGAAAGAGGGUUCCUCAAGGACUCAUUAAAUGGCUGAAUUUGUCAGAUGAGGAGGCAACCUGGGAAGACAAAUCCUUUAUUUUGCACUAGUUUCCACAUUCAGCUCUUCUUGGGGACAAGAAGAAUCCCUUGGGGACAAAAAAAAUCUCUUGGGGAGGGUAUUGUAACGUACCACAGAAGGAAGAAGAAGGGAGAAUAAGCUAUUGUAAUUGUUGUAAUUGAAUAAAGGAAUUGGAGGAAAAAAAUGUUUAGUUAGAAGGUAGUUAGUCUUGUACACAUAUAAAAGGAGAGAACUCUACUCUGUGAAGGCAUUUGAGAAUGAUCAAUAAUAUCUCUUCCUAUCUUCUCACCUCACUCUCUCUCUCUUUCUCACCCUUCUUUCCUCAUCUCCUUUCUAAUUCUUCCCUCAUCUAAGUCUAUUCUCCUUCUCAUCCCCAAUUCUUCUUCUUUUCUCAUCUCUAUUUUCUAUUCCCAGCCAUUGUGCUAACACUGUACUACCUCUAGCUAUAACAAACUUCUAUCCAUAACAAUCCCUAUAACAAUCCAUACAGCUAUAGUAUUUUCCCACCCAAAGUCUUUAUGCAUUUUAUUUCCUCUUAUUUCUAUAUUUCUUCUUAUAAUAAAUGACAAUAUCUUUUGACCUUUUUUCUUAAUUCAAUAAAAGACUCAAAUGUUCAACAUUCCAUAAUUUAAAACUAAAAUGUUUGAUUGGGAAGUAUUUAAAAGGGGAUUGUAAGUGUACUUGUUCAGUUUAUUUGGAAUGAAAACAUUAAUUUUUAUUAAAGAAAAUAUGUUGUAAUAUUCCCGAUUUGUUUUAAACAUUGUAGAAGGAUAAUAUUUGUUGUAUUUCACAAUAGAGAUUACAACCUAUUUAUACAUGAGAGACGGUAUCUAAACAGGAAGAAAAAUCAAGCCUAUGAUUAUACAAUCCCUAAGAUUAAGCAACUGACCCAUCUAUCAAUAUUUACUUUCUAUAUUAACAUAUUUACUUUCUAUAACUUAUAACACUCCCUCUCAAGUUGGAUCAUAAAUGUUAAUCAUGCCCAAUUUGUUACAUAUAUAAUCAACUCGAGUCCCAUUUGGAGCUUUAGUGAAAAUAUCUCCUAAUUGUUCUCUAGUUCGGAUAUGUCCUUUUGAUAUUAUCUUUUGUUGGACCUUUUCACGAACAAAAUGACAAUCAAUCUCGAUGUGUUUAGUCCUCUCGUGAAAUACUGGAUUGGAGGCAAUGUGGAUAGCGGCUUGAAUAUCACACCACAACUUAGCAGGCACCGAAUUUGUGAACCCAACUUCUUCCAACAGUUGACAUACCCACAAGAUUUCACAAACGGCUUAUGCCAUAGCUCGAUAUUCAGAUUCAGCACUAGAACGGGAGAGCACAUUUUGCUUCUUACUUUUCCAUGAGAUCAAGUUACCUCCCACAAAAACACAAUACCCAGUAGUUGACCUCCUAUCAACUUUCGAGCCUGCCCAAUCAGCAUCAGAAAAGCAUUCAAUAUUUGAGUGCCCAUGGUUACCAUAGAAUAGGCCUCGCCCUGGGGCCCCUUUAAGGUAACAAAGAAUCUGUCCCAGAGCAUCCCACUGGGCAACAGUAGGAGAAGACAUAAACUGACUUACCACACUCACUGAAUAUGCAAUAUCAGGACGAGUCACCGUCAAAUAAUUCAGCUUGCCAACUAAUCUUCUAUACCUUCCAGAAUCUGCAAAUGCAAAUGGCUCACUGUCUUCUGUGGUAAGUUGAAGGUUAGGGGUCAUUGGGGCACUACACGGCUUAGCAUCCAAUUUUCCUGUUUCUGCCAACAAAUCAAGAACAUAUUUUCUUUGAGAUAAGAAAAUGCCUUUCUUACACCACAUGACUUCGAUUCCCAAGAAAUAUUUCAAGGAACCCAAACCCUUUAUAUGAAACUGUGUUUUAAGAAAUUCUUUUAGGGAUGUGAUGCCAGCAAUGUCACUUCCUGUAAUAACGAUAUCAUCCACAUAUACUACAAGCAUAAUUACUCCACUAUCAGAAUUUCUAUAAAACACUAAGUGAUCACACUUACUCAUCUUCAUUCCAAACUGUUGGACCACCUCACUAAGCCUGUCAAACCAUGUCCGAAGACUCUGUUUCAAGCCAUAAAGGGAUUUUCGAAGUCUACAAACCUUACCUGACUCCCCCUGAGCAACAAAACAAGGUGGUUGCUCAAUAUAAACCUCCUCCUGAAGAUCACCAUGAAGAAAAGCAUUUUUAAUAUCUAGUUGAUGCAAAGGCCAAUCAUGAGUAGCCGCCAAGGAAAUAAACAAUCGGACAGAUGCGAGCUUGGCAACUGGGGAGAAUGUAUCAGAAUAGUCAACUCCAUAAGUUUUUGUAUAACUUUUGGCCACUAAACGGGCCUUGAGGCGAGCAAUAGAUCCAUUAGGGUUUACUUCCACUGCAAACACCCUUUUGCACUCAAUAGCCCGCUUUCCUGGGGGCAAGGACAUCAACUCCCAAGUACCAUUAGUGUCAAGGGCCAUCAUUUCCUCUUCCAUUGCAGCACGCCAACCAGGAUGGGACAAAGCCUCAAUAACAGUUUUGGAAAUUGAAAUAGAAUCUAAAGCAGUGACAAAACAACGAGAAGAGGAGGAUAAUUGAUCAUAAGAGACACAAGAUGAAAUAGGAUAAGUGCAAGUACGUUUACCUUUGCGAAGAGCAAUGGGCAAAUCCAAAUCAGACAGUGAAGGAUCAGUGGGAGCAGGAUCGGUUGACGAAGAAGCGGGUAGCAGAACGGAGUCAGAGUCCUCUAAGCGUUUGGAAUGCACAUGAAAGAUGGGAGGGCAACCUGGCAUAUGAGCGAAAGGUGUAGGAGUAGUCUGAGGAGACAGAGAGUGAACAGUGUAUGACAAGAGGUCAUCUUCCUCCUCCUGGGUAUUAUAAACAGAUGAUGGCAGAAAAAAUAGAGUGGACUCAAAGAAUGUUACAUCUGCAGACACAAGAUACCGAUUCAGAUCAAGAGAAAAACAACGAUACCCUUUCUGACAUCGAGAGUAGCCAAGGAAGACACAUUUGAGUGAUUUGGGAUCCAAUUUAGUAACCUGUGGACGAACAUCACGAACAAAAUAAGUACAACCAAAGAUACGUGGCUCAAUAGGAAACAAAGAUUUAGUGGGAAACAAAAUGUUAUAAGUGAUAUCACCAUGAAGGAUGGAGGAAGGCAUGCGAUUAAUCAAAAAACAAGCAGUGAAUACAGCAUCAGCCCAAAAAUAUUUAGGUACCUUCAUUUGGAAUAAGAGGGCUCUGGCUACUUCAACAAGAUGUCGAUUUUUUCUUUCAGCAACUCCAUUUUGUGAAGGAGUGGCAACACAAGAGGACUGAUGAAGAACCUCUUUUUGUAACAAAUAAGAUUGAAAUUCCCCAGAGAGAUACUCUUUAGCAUCAUCACUUUGAAAUAUACGGAUGGAAGUAUUGAAUUGGGUUUGGAUUUCAGCAUAAAAUGCACAAAAAAUAGAAAAUAAUUCUGAACGACUUUUCAUUAAAAAUAACCAAGUAGUACGAGAGAAAUCAUCAACAAAAGUAACAAAAUACUUAAAGCCAGACUUAGACACAAUAGGACAAGGACCCCAAACAUCUGAAUGGACUAACUCAAAGGGGGACAAAGUCCGUUUAUUGACUCGAGACAGUGUAGGUAAACGAUGAUGUUUGGCAAAUUGACAAGACUCACAAUCUAGAAUAGACAAAGAAUGAAACUGUGGAUAUAACUUCUUCAAAGCCGAGAGAGAAGGAUGCCCCAAACGACAAUGAACAUCAAAAGGUGUUAAACGCGUGGAGCAUAUCAUAGAUCGAGGAGAUCGAGGUAGUUGCUAAUCCAAGAUGUAAAGACCCUCUGACUCACUCCCUCUACCAAUAAUCUACUUCGUCGAAAGAUCCUGAAAAAUACAGUGAUCAGGAAAGAAUGACACACAACAAUUCAAUGCACGAGUGAGUUUACUCACGGAAAACAAAUUAAAUGCGAACUUAGGGAGACAUAACACAGAGGAUACAGAAAGAGAAGGGGUUAAGUUGACAUGACCAGAACCCAUGACAGAAGAUUUAGUGUCAUCAGUAAGAGUAACAUAAGAAGGCGAUAUAUGAGACUCAAGAUUGGACAAAAGGGUAGAAUUACCUGACAUAUGAUCGGUAGCACCAGAAUCAAUAACCCAUUUGGAGGAUGAAGACACAAGACAUGCAGUAGAAUUACUUAACUCAGCAAUUGCAGUGAUAGAGGAGGAAUUAGAGGAUUUUAGAGAUGCCUGGUAUUGGAUGAAUUGUGCAUACUCAUAUGCAGAUAUCAAAAUUCCUUGAUUGGAAAAUCCAUUCAAUUUGUGUUCCGUGAUUUUAGUCAUCAUAGGAAUCACAUCAGUUACGGUGGUGGUUUUAACUUCAGCCAUAAGGACAACCAAUCCAAAACGAUAGCAAUAAAAGAAACACAGAAUCAGAAAACAGUACCCGGCGUGAACAGUACCACGUGAACAGUAUCGAUGAACAGGAUCCGUGAACAGUACCGAUGACUAGUACCGUGAACAGUGCCGAUGAACAGUACCCCCGAAUAUGAAUAGUACCUAAAACACCUCCACCCAACACCCUAAUGGCAAAUAAACCUCAGAUCUGAUAAAGGAAUGGUGUGGCGACUCCGGCGAUGGUGAGAUCCAAAUGUUACCCUUUAUGGGUAACCCAAAUAAAUAGAGCCCUAGAGAAAACUUGACGAGAGAAAAAAUAUAAUUUCUACGAGAAUGGCUCUGAUACCAUAAAGAAGGAUAAUAUUUGUUGUAUUUCACAAUAGAGAUUACAACCUAUUUAUACAUGAGAGACGGUAUCUAAAUAGGAAGAAAAUUCAAGCCUCUGAUUAUACAAUCCCUAAGAUUAAGCAAUUGACCCAUCUAUCAAUAUUUACUUCCUAUAUUAACAUAUUUACUUUCUAUAAUUUAUAAGAAACAUGAAAGAUGGGCCCUAAACUGUUGAAUGGCUAGAAUUUAUGUUAACUAAUGGCUUGCGGAUAAUGAAAGACGGCAAAUUUUCCAAAAAAAGAAAACAUCUACUCAACUGAAAUAGUAUUUUAUUGCAGAAACACAAAUGAAGAACCUAGACAAAAAGAAGAUGUGAAUUUAAUGGGCCAAACAUGGAAAAAGAAGAAGAAAAAAAAAAAGAAAAGGAUUGCAAAUUUGCCUCCUACUGGAAUAUCUAAUUAAAGUUUAGAGCUAAGAGUGCUAAUCCAAUGAGGGUUUCAAAAACGUGAUAUAAAAAACGGAUCAGGAUUUUACCGGAAAAAAAGUUUCAGUAUUAGAACUUUUGAUGCAGUUAAUUCUCUUGUUGUAAAAUUGUGUGUUUAUGAAAGAAAAUGUUGAUAUUAAAAACCUUUCAUUAUCUUUUUUUUUUUUUCUUACUGCACUUUUUGUCUCAAACUUCCAAUUUUUUUAGGCCUGAAGCUAAACUUGUGAAAGAAGUUGUGGAACAUAUUUUGAGGAAAUUGGAUCAUGCAUUCUCAGGAGAUUUGAAGGGUCUGAUUGGAAUACACUCGCACAUUAGACAGAUUAAAAAUUUAUUAUGCAUAGGGUUGCCAAAUGUUCGUAUUGUAGGAAUUUGGGGCAUGGCUGGCAUAGGCAAAACGACUAUUGCUAGAGCUUUUUUCAACACUAUCUCAAAUCAAUUUGAAGCUUGCACUUUUCUUGAGAAUGUAAACGAAGAAUCAAAACAAUUUGAAGGGCUACGUCGUUUAAGAGAAAAGCUUCUUUCUGAAUUACUAGAGGAGGAAAAUCGACAUAUUGUCACUUCCAACAUAGAAUCUGUUUCCGUUAAGGACAGGAUCCGCCACAAAAGGGUUUUGCUUGUCCUUGAUGAUUUGAAUGAUGUGGAUCAGCUGGAAGCCCUCAUUGGAGGAUGCGAUUUUGCUUUGGGAAGUAGAGUUAUAGUGACAUCUAGAGAUAGGCAAGUUCUAAAGAAUGGAGUUGAUGAAAUAUAUGAAGUUGAGGGAUUAAAUGAUGAUGAAGCUCUUCAACUGUUCAGUUCCAAUGCUUUUAAGAAAAGUUAUCCCACUUUUGAUAGAUUGGAGCUAUCAAAUAGGGUGGUGAACUAUGCUCAGGGAAACCCCUUAGCUCUUAAAGUUUUGGGUUCUUUCUUAUUUGACAGAAGGAGAGAAGAUUGGGAAAACACACUGGAUAAACUUGGAAGAAUUCCUCAGGCUAAAGUUUUUCAUUUGCUGAGAACAUGUUUUGACACGCUUGAUGAUGAUGAGAAAAAUAUAUUUCUGGAUAUUGCAUGUUUUUUCAAGGGGCAACAAAUUGAUUUUGUAAGGAGAGUACUAGAUGGUUGUGGUUUCUCAGCAGGAAUUGGAAUUACUGUUCUUCUUGAUAAAUCUCUUAUUACUAUCCUAGAUAACAAGCUGGGAAUGCAUAAACUGUUGCAAGAAAUGGCUCAUGAAAUUGUUCGCCAAGAAUCUGUUAAAGAGCUGGGCAAGCGCAGUAGAUUGUGGAGAGCUUGUGAUGUCUAUCAAGUCUUAACAAAAAAUCUGGUAAGAGCCAUAUUCAUUCUUGAUUUUUAUGCUUGCAUGUAUUAUAUUUAUGUAUCUGUCAAAAUAAACUGAGUACAUCAGUGUAACCUUGCUUUAUAUAUAUGCUCAUCCGUGAUCUUCAGGGAACUGAAAAUGUUGAAGGGAUAUGGUUAGACACAUCUAAAAUGAGAGAAAUGGAUGUGAGUUCAAGAGCCUUUGUGAGGAUGGAUAAUCUUAGAUUGCUCAAAAUCUACAAUUCUAGAGUUAGAAAUAAUUGUAAACUGCACCUUCCUCGUGGCCUUAAGUUCCUUUCUGAUGAGUUGAGGUACAUCCAUUGGGAUGGAUACCCUCUGAGCUCUAUGCCAUCCAAUUUUCAGGUGGAGAACCUUGUUGAGCUAAACCUGGCUUACAGCAAAGUUAAACAGCUAUGGACAGGAGUACAGGUACGCGAUAAUAUUUUUCCUGAUUCCCUUUUUACAUCAUUUCCUUUUAAAAGUGCAGAUUAGUAUGGGGCAUGUGCUAAUUUGUUGUAGCCUGUUGUAUUGUUAUUGCAGAAUCUUGCAAGUUUGAAAGAUAUUAACCUUAGCAAUUCUGAGCACUUAAAUACUUUCCCUGAUCUCUCACUGGCAAAGAAUCUUGAGAGAGUAAAUUUUGAGUUCUGUACUAGCUUGGUAGAAGUUCCCUCAUCUAUUCAGUUUCUAGAGAAGCUUACUGAUUUGAAUAUGAGAUGCUGCACAUGCCUUGAGAGUUUUCCUACAGGUAUUAAUUUGAGAUCACUUAAGACUCUUUACCUUUCCGGCUGUUCAAAUCUUAGGAAGUGUCCUGAGAUAGGAAAGAACAUAGUGUAUUUAAACUUAAAUGAGACUGCAAUAGAAGAACUUCCGGAAUCAAUUGGCCAUCUCAGUGAUCUCAUAGCAUUGAAUUUGAAGGAUUGUAAGCAAAUCAGGCAUCUUCCAAGAAGCAUGCGUUUGUUGAAAUCCCUUGUGAUUAUUGAUCUCUCUGGCUGCUCAAAUAUCAUUAGGUUUCCCGAUUUUGCAACACGUAUAGAAUUCUUGUACUUGGGUGAAACUGCAAUAGAAGAACUUCCCUCUUCAAUUGGUUGUCUCUCAAGGCUCUCUCGUUUGGAUCUAACAAACUGCAAAAGGCUUAAGAACCUUCCUUCUACCAUUUUUAAGUUGGCAUCUCUUGAAAAUCUUAUCAUCUCUGGCUGCUCAAGUAUUACUGAGAUUCCAGAGAUGUCGAGUAAUAUAAGGAAGUUGUUUAUAGAUGGGACAUCAAUAGAAGAAAUUCCCUCAUCAAUAGAGUGUUGUUUUGAUCUUGUUGAGUUGAACCUGCAAAACUGCACAAGAUUUCGUAUUCUUCCAAGCGGUAUUUGUAGGUUGAAAUCUCUGCAAAAGCUUAAUCUCUCAGGUUGCUCCAUGUUUGAGAAUUUUCCAGAAGUUUUGGAGGUUAUGGGAUCAUUGAGGUAUCUAUAUUUAGAUGGAACAGCCAUACAAGAGUUACCUUCACCAAUUGAAAAUUUGAAAGGGCUUACCUGCUUGGAAUUAAGGAACUGCAGAAAUCUACAGGGAUUGCUGGAAGGAAUCUCUGGUGUAAAAAAUUUCAGCAGAUUACCUGAAAGGUGGGUGGAUAUUCAAUAUCUACGAAAGCUCAACGUAAAUAAUUGCAGUUUAUCACAUGUGCCUUAUUGCAUUGGCUGCUUAUCCUCACUAGAAGCAUUAGAUCUAAGUGGAAACCCUUUUACAUACAUGCCUGAAAGCAUUAGUAAGCUCUUUGAGCUUCAGUACCUUGGUUUAAGAAAUUGCCAGCAGCUAAUAUCAAUACCAGAUCUUCCGCCCCAGCUUACAAAAUUAGAUGCACAUUUUUGCGUUUCGCUGAGAUCAGUAUCACUUCAUUCCAAUGGAGCCGAGGGAAACAUUUUUGAUUUCCAUUUCACUAAUUGUGACAAGUUAACUUCAGUUGCAAGGCACAACAUCAUGGCAUAUGCUCUACGAAAAAUUGAGCUGUACUCCAAAAAACUGCAUUGUCAGGUCUUUCACUCCUCUAAAUUUUUCCCUUUGUUCUUUUCAAUUGACCAUCUCCCUUAUUAAAAUUGCUGCUUUUUCUUAUUUGUGUGCAGAUGCCUUCUGUGUUAGCUGGGGAAUCUAGCUUUUGCAUUCCUGGAAGAAAAAUUCCGAAGUGGAUUUGCCAUCAGAGUGAGGGAUUUUCAACGACAGUUCGACUGCCUUCACAGUGGAGUAAUGGUGAGUUCCUGGGUUUCAUUCUCUGUGCAGUUAUUGCAUUCAAUGACUCCAACAUUGACAACGGUUUCCAAGUGAAAUGUGAAUACCAUUUCAAAGAUGAGCAUGGCAACUGCAGUAAUCUCCAUGGUCAUAUCAGUGGCUGGUAUGGUCGAAGAUAUCUCUGGAAUUACCGCGAAAUCCAAAACGGGGGAGUAUAUCCCAUGUUCUUUGGGUAUGAUCCUUGUGUGGAUGUUAAGAAAAAUGCUCAGUUUCCUAAACACACACAGCUUCUGGUUGAAUUCCAUCCUGAAGAUAUGGAUGGCCAUCCUUUACAUUGUUGCAAGGUUGUCAAUUGCGGGGUACGUAUAUUAUAUGCUGAAGAGGAGAGAUUAUGUCGAUGUUCUUCUCUCCAUCAACAGAUUAAGGAAGCAUUAUCCAAAACAAGGGAUGAAAUUUGCUCCUAUGAAGAUCAAAAUCUAUGGGAGAGCUUUCUGGAACACAAGAAAACCAAAGUUGUUGGGACAAGCUGCAAAAUGUACCAAUGUUUGCUCUGUGAAAGUCACGACUUUGGGUGUUUCGAUGUGGUCGAUGAACAAGAUAUUGAUACUCUUGCAUCUUUAUGAGAAAUUUCAGAUUUAGGCAAUUGUAUGACAUGAAAAAAGAAAAAAUGAGAAUAAGGUGGAGAGAGAGAAAAAAAAAAAGAAGAAUCUAAUACCAGUGGUCAAUUUUAUUUUAAUAUUAUUAAUAUACAUUUCUCCAUCUUCUUCUCUUCCCUUUCCCCCUUUCUCUCUCAGAAAUGACCAGUUUAGAAGCUUCCUUCCUAUCAUCAAUAAGCAAAACCCGUGAACUUUCCAUGCAUUUUCAUAAAUUUGGCUACAACCCUAAGGUGCCUAUAUAUAUAUAAAUCAAUGACCAAGGGUGCAUAUGCUUCUAAGGAAAUUUUAUAAGAGAAAAAAAAUAAGUGUUAAUGAGAUAUAUAGCACAUCUUUAAUAUCUAGUGAUGGGUUGUUUUGGCAAGCGAAACUCUGAAAAUAAACAAAACCCAUAUCAAACACCUGCCAAAGGAACUAAUCCUCCUCGUCAAGCUCAUUAUGGAGGAGCUAGAAAGGCAAAAGUCGCAGCAAACAUAGCCAUGGUGUUGGAGCAGUUACUGCAGGUGUUACUGCUGCAGUCGCUGCAAGUUCAGCCGCUUCUAGUGGUGCUGGUGCUUGUGGUGGAGGUGGUUGCGCCGUUUCAGGCUGUUGAGGAUUGUCUUUGCAACAAUUCAAUUUCUUCUUUAUAUAUUUGUUAAUUACAUAUCAUCUCAUGAGAUUCUAUUAAUUUGUCAUGUUUUUACUUGAAUUUCAGAAAUAAAAAUUAUAGAAGAAAAUAAAAGGAUUGGUUGUAAGAAAUAUAUAUUGUUGUAUAUAUUCUGUGUUUAAUAUAUAUAUUUGAUUAUGGAAUUGUUAUAGUAAUAAUUUUAUUUUUAUUUUUAGCAAUAAAGUUAAUUACAACAAAGAUUUUAUAUUGAUAUAGUAAUAAUUUUAUUUUUAGCCUUAAAGUUAAUUAGUUAUUAUGACUAAAAUAAAAAGUAUUAGGAGACCAAUGAUUAUAUAUAAAGGAUAUCAUAGAAUUUUAAAAAUAAAAAUCUUAACAAAUAAUUGAUUUUUAAAUUGAUCCCUAAUUAUUACUAUUAAUUUAUAAAAAAAUUAGUUUAUAAAUAAUUGUAAUAUUAGUGCAUUAAUUUAAAAAGUAUAGCAACUUAUUUGUAAAUAAGUAUACUGCUUAAGGACCAAUUUAUAAAUUUAUGUGUGCUUAAUCAUAAAUAAUAAUUAUAAUAGGGAUAAAUUAGUAAAAGUUAAUAAGUGAAUUGUAAAAAAAAAUAAAAAUAUAAACUAAAGGACUAAACUGUAACUUUUACUAAACUUAGUUUAUUCUUUUAUAUUAAAAAUAUAAUAAAUGAAAUUUUAGUCAUUUUUAUACAAUUAACCGUAAUUUUAACUGUAAAUCUAAUGAUAAUUUAUAUGUUUAUUUAAAUGUUAAAAUGUCAAUUGGUAGAUUUUAAAAACAUAUAGAUUACAACAAAAUAAUUUAUUAAACUAUAAAGACAACUGAAAUUUAUCUAAUUAAUAAUUAUAAAAUCUAAAAAAAAUUUAAAAAACAUAUAAAAACUACAUUAUAACGUUGACGGUAAUAAUGCAGAUACCAAUAAGACGAAAGAAGCUAGAUAAUAAAUGGAUUGUUUCUUACCAUCCAUAUCUCUUAACAAUAUGCAACUAUCACAUAUAUGUGCUAGCUUAAAGGAAGUUAAAUGUUUGUAUAAGUACAUCUAUAAAGGACAUGAUAAGAUCUCAAUUUGCAUGUCCCAUGAAGAUGAACCAAUGGAUGAAAUACAAUAAUUUCAAGAUACAAGAUGAGUGUCAGCUCAAGAAGCGAUAUGGAAAAUAUUUGAAUUUGGGCUCAAUGAAAUAAACCCUUCAGUUUUAAAUCUACAGUUACACUUGCCAAAUUAGCAAAUGGUAUCAUUUUAGAAAAUCAGAAUCUUAAGCAUGUUAUGCAAUGGGAUCAUAUAUCAAGAACAAUGUUAACAAAGUUCUUAAGAACCACUUGAUGAAGAAGCAAGAGGACUAUUGUAUAGGGAAUUUUCAGAACAGUAUGUAUGGAGUCUAAACAAAAAUCAAGGCAAGUAAUAGGUUGUGUAAAUGCAGUGAAUCCGAUAGAGGGUGAAAGAUACUAUUUGAGAUUGCUUUUAAACUAUAUAAGAGGUCCAAAGUCAUUUGACGAUCUAUUAACAAUAGAAAAUGUCCAAUGCUCGAUUUAAAGAGUCAGCUAUUAGAAGAGGACUACUUGAGUCAGAUAAUAGUGCAUCUGAAUGUAUGAGUGAAGCAGUCACACUCCAGAUGCCAUAAGAAUUGAGGAAAUUAUUUGUAAUUAUAUAUAUUGUAAGCCUGCUGAUGUGAGAGGAUUAUGGGAUAAUUACGGGAUGAUUACUUUGAUGCCAUAUAUGAGAAUUUUAAUAGAAUGUACCAAGGCUCAAUGCAGAAAUAGAUUUCUUUAACAUUGAAAAGUAUAAACUAUCAUUUACAGAGCAUGGAAAAAGAUAUAAAGAAUUAUAAUUUGUCAAAUAUAGAAGAAGAUCAAACACAUCAAUCAAUCAAAAACUCAAGAGAAAUAACAGAUGAGAUGGCUAUAGAAAUACUUGAGGAAGAUAUUAAUGUGGUACAUAAAUUAAAUAUUGAGCAACUCCAUGCAUAUAAAAUCAUAUUGCAAACAGUGGACUUAAACACUAGCGGGGUCUUUUUUGUGGAUGGAUAUGGAGGGACAGAAAAGAUAUUUUUAUAUCGUGCAUUACUCGCAUAUGUAAGAUCUAUAGGAAUGAUAGCACUUGUCAUAGCAACAUCUAGGAUAAUAGCGUUUAUUAUGCUUGGAGGAAGAACUACACACUCACGAUUUAGUAUACCAUUAAGCCCAAUAGAGUCGAACAUGUGUAGUAUAUCUAAGCAAAGCGGACAGACAGAAUUAUUAUGCAUUGCAAAAUUGAUUAUAUGGAAUGAAGCACUGAUGGCAAAAGGACUAGCAAUAGAAAUAGUUGAUAGAAGCUUGAGAGAUAUAAUGGAUAAUUCUCAACCAUUCGGAGAGAAGGUAAUAGUGUUUAGUGGAGAUUUCAGGUAGGUAUUACCGGUGGUACCUAAAGCCUUAAGACAAGAAAAUGUUAGUGUAAGUCUCAUGAAAUCUUAUUUAUGGAGUAAAAUGGAAGUGCUAAAAUUAACAACCAAUAUGAGGGCUAGAACAUAUCAAUAUUUUGGAGAAUUCAUACUCAGAGUUGGUAAUAGAGAAGAGGUAGAAACAAAAGAAUGUAAUAUAAGAAUACCUGAAGAGAUGGUAGUGAAGUAUGAAAAUGAAAAUAACUGUAAAGAAGUAUUAGGUGAUGCAAUAUAUUCAUCAUUGGAGAAAAAUGCUAGAUUGGCAUAGUACAUGACAAAUCGUGUAAUCCUAACAACAAAAAAUGAAUAUGUAGAUAGUUUUAAUGAAAAGAUGAUAAAUAUAUUCUUUAGUAAAAGCGAUACUUAUACCAAUUUUGAUGAAACAAUAGAUAAUACAAAUAACUAUUACCAAGAGGAAUUCUUAAAUAUUUUAUUACCGAAUGGAUUGCCUUCGCACAAGUUAGAAUUAAAAGUGAAUUGUGCAAUGAUACUGUAAAAAAACCUAGAUCCUUCAAAUGGCCUAUAUAAUGGAUCAAGAAUGGUGUAUAAAAAUUUUAGAAAAAAUAUAAUUCAUGCAAAGAUAAUAGUAAGACGUGUUGAUAAGCAAAUUCUAUUACUAUUUUUACCUGCAGAAAAUAAAGAUGUCCUUUUCGUUUUAAAAGAAUACAAUUUCCUAUUUGUCUAUGUUUUGCAACGACGAUAAAUAAAGCUCAGAGAUAAAUAAUAUUAAACUUUGGUAUGUAUUUGAUACAUGAUGUUUUCUCUCCUAAACAAUUAUAUAUCGCACGAUCAAGGGAAGUAUUAAUUUCAAUUAUAAAAAUCAUUAUAAAGUCAGACAAUAAAAAAGAAAAAAGCAAAAAUGUACGAAGAACGUAGCAUAUAAAUAAGUGUUAUUAUCAUAAAAGUGAAAGAAUAUAAAAUAUAUAUUUAAAUAUAAACAAAUAUUUAGUAAUUAUAUUAAAAUAAUAUUAACUAUUAUAAUAAUUUUAAUAAUGGAGUAAACAUAUAUUUAAAAGUCAAUUGCUUGAUUACAAUAAUAACACGAAAGCAAAAAUCAUUAAAUGUGAUGUGAUUUUAUAUUUUAAUAUUAAUAUUAAUAUUUUAUUAUUUUUUAUGAUAAUUCUUCAACAAUUAUAUUAUAAAAAAAUGAAUGUAUUCAAUGAAUAUAAACAACGUGUAAAUCACGUUAAUUAAAACUAAUUAUUACAGAAGUGCUUUAUAAAAGUGGGAACUGAAUUAUUUAUGUUGUUAAACCUAAAUAUGGGCAGGUUAUCGUGGACCAAAUUGAAACAGAAUGGGUUAAAUUUAAAAUAUUGGUGAAUUAAUUUUGGUCAAUUAAUUUUAAUUUAUUUAUUUAUUCAUAUGCCAAUGAUAUAUUCAAUAAAUAUUAUUAUUUAAACUAAUAAGAAAUGUACUAUGUUAGUAUAUUAUUAAUGGUAAAAUAUAAUAUAGUCUCUAUAUUUAGAUAAAUUCUUCACUUUAGUCUUUAAAGUUUAAAAACACACAUAUUUAGUCGUUAACAUUUGAAUUAACCUAUAAUUUAGACUCUGCUAUUAGACUUACGGUUAAAAUGAUGCUAAUUUCAGAAAAAAAUAAGUUAAAUACCCUUUAUUAUAUAUUAUAAAUUAAUUUCUAAAUAUUAUACUUAUUUGUAAAUAUCUAUAUUUCUAUAAAUUAGUUCCUAAAUAUUUCAAUUGUUUAUGACUAAGUCCUUAUAAUUUAAAAAUUGAUUUCUAAAAUAUUUUUAUUGUUUAUAAAUAAUUUUAAAAAUAUUUUUUAAAUUGAUCCCUAAUUAUUACUAUUAAUUUAUAAAAAUAUUAGUUUAUAAAUAAUUGUAAUAUUAGUGCAUUAAUUUAAAAAGUAUAGCAACUUAUUUGUAAAUAAGUAUACUACUUAAGCACCAAUUUAUAAAUUUAUAUGUGCUUACUCAUAAAUAAUCAUUACAAUAGGGAUAAAUUAGUAAAAGUAUUAAAGUGAAUUGUAAAAAAAAUAAAAAUAUAAACUAAAGGACUAAACUGUAACUUUUACUAAACUUAGUUGAUUCUUUUGCAUUAAGAAUAUAAUAAAUGAAAUGUUAGUCGUUUUUAUACAAUUAACCGUAAUUUUAACUGUAAAUCUAAUGGUAAUUUGUAUGUUUAUUUAAAUGUUAAAAACUCAAUUGGUAGAUUUUAAAAACACAGACUACAACAAAAGAAUUCACUAAACUAUAAAAACAUAACUGUAAUUUAUCUUAUUAAUAAUUAUACAAUGUAAAAGUUUUUUAAAAAAUAUAUAAAAAUUAUAUUAUAACAUUGACUGUAAUAAUGCAGAUAUCAAUAAGACGAAAGAAGCUAGAUAAUAAAUGAAUUGUUCCUUACAAUCUAUAUCUCUUGACAAUAUACAACUGUCACAUAAAUGUUGAGAUAUGUGCUAACUUGAAGGGAGUUAAAUGUUUGUAUAAGUACAUCUAUAAAGGACAUGAUAGGAUCUCAGUUUGCAUGUCCCAUGAAGAUGAACCAAUUGAUGAAAUACAAUAAUUUCAAGAUACAAGAUGGGUGUCAGCUCAAAAAGCUAUACGGAGAAUAUUUAAAUUUAAGCUCAAUGAAAUAAACCCUUCAGUUUUAAAUCUACAGAUACACUUGCCAAAUUAGCAAAUGGUAUCAUUUUAGAAAAAUCAGAAUCUUAAGCAUGUUAUGCAAUGGGAUCAUAUAUCAAGAACAAUGUUAACAGAGUUCUUAAGAACAUGCUCACUUAAUGAAGAAGCAAGAGGACUAUUGUAUAGGGAAUUUUCAUAACAGCAUGUAUGGAGUCUAAACAGAAAUCAAGGCAAGUAAUAGGUUGUGUAAAUGCAGCGAAUCCGAUAGAGGGUGAAAGAUACUAUUUGAGAUUGCUUUUAAACUAUAUAAGAGGUCCAAAAUUAUUUGACGAUCUAUUAACAAAAGAAAAUGUUCAAUGCCCGAUUUAAAGAGUCAACUAUCAGAAGAGGACUACUUGAGUAAGAUAAUAGUGCAUCUGAAUGUAUGAGUGAAGCAGUCACAUUCCAGAUGCCAUAAUAAUUGAGGAAAUUAUUUGCAAUUAUAUAUAUUGUGAGCCUGCUGAUGUGAGAGGAUUAUGGGAUAAUUACUUUGAUGCCAUAUAUGAGAAUUUUAAUAGAAUGUACCAAGACUCAAUGCAGAAAUAGAUUUCUUUGACAUUGAAAAGUAUAAACUAUCAUUUAUAGAGCAUGAGGAAAGAUAUAAAUAAUUAUGAUUUGUCAAAUAUAAAAGAAGAUAAAACACAUCAAUCAAUCAAAAACUCAAGAGAAAUAACAAAUGAGAUGGCUAUAGAAAUACUUGAGGAAGAUAUUAAUGCAGUACAAAAAUUAAAUAUUGAGCAACUCCAUGCAUAUAAAAUCAUAUUGUAAAGGGUGGACUUAAACACUAGCAGGGUCUUUUUUGUGGAUGGAUCUGGGAGACAGAAAAGAUAUUUUUAUAUCGUGCAUUACUCGCAUAUGUAAGAUCUAUAGGAAUGAUAACACUUGCCAUAGCAACAUCUGGGAUAGUAGCGUCUAUUAUGCCUGGAGGAAGAAUUGCACACUCACGAUUUAGUAUACCAUUAAGCCCAACAGAGUCGAGCAUGUCUGGUAUAUCUAAGCAAAGUGGAUAGAUAGAAUUAUUAUGCACUACAAAAUUGAUUAUAUGGAAUGAAGCACUGAUGGCAAAAGGACUAGCAAUAGAAAUAGUUGAUAAAAGCUUGAGAGAUAUAAAGGAUAAUUCUCAACCAUUCGGAGAGAAGGUAAUAGUGUUUGGUGGAGAUUUCAAGUAGGUAUUAUCGGUGGUACCUAAAGCCUCGAGACAAGAAAAUGUUAGUGUAAGCCUCAUGAAAUUUUAUUUAUGGAGUAAAAUGGAAGUGCCAAAAUUAACAACCAAUAUGAGGGCUAGAACAGAUCAAUAUUUUGGAGAAUUCAUACUUAGAGUUGGUAAUGGAGAAGAGGUAGAAACAAAAGGAUGCAAUAUAAGAAUACCUGAAGAGAUGGUAGUGAAGUAUGAAAAUGAAAAUAACUGUGAAGAAGUAUUAGGUGAUGCAAUAUAUCUAUCAUUGGAGAAAAAUGCUAGAUUAGCAUAGUACAUGACAAAUCGUGCAAUCCUGACAACAAAAAAUGAAUAUGUAGAUAGUUUUAAUGAAAAGAUGAUAAACAUAUUCCAUAAUAAAAGCAAUACUUAUACCAGUUUUGAUGAAACAAUAGAUAAUACAAAUAACUAUUACUAAGAGGAAUUUUUAAACACUUUAUUACUGAAUGGAUUGUCUUCGCACAAGCUGAAAUUAAAGGUAAAUUGUGCAAUGAUACUGUCAAGAAACCUAGAUCCUUCAAAUGACCUAUAUAAUAGAAAAUGAAAGGUGUAUAAAAGUUUUAGAAAAAAUAUAAUUCAUGCAAAGAUAACAGUAAAAUAACAUAUUGGUAAGCAAAUUCUAUUACUAUUGUUAUCUGCAGAAAAUAAAGGAUGCCCUUUUUAUUUUGAAAGAUGCAAUUUUCUAUUCGUCUAUGCUUUGCAAUGACGUUGAAUAAAGUUCAGAGAUAAAUAAUAUCAAAUUUUGAUGUGUAUUUGAUACAUGAUGUUUUCUUUCAUAAUUAAUUAUAUAUCACACUAGUAAGAGAAGUAUCAAUGUCAACUAUAAAAAUUAUUAUAAAGUCAAAUAAUAAAAGUAAAAAAAAGAAAAAAUAUACGUAAUAUAUAAAUAAGUCUCAUUACCAUAAAAGUUAAAGAAAAUAAAAUAUAUAUUUAAAUAUAAUAAAAUAUUUAGUAAUUAUAUUAAAAUAAUAUUAACUAUUAUAAUAAUUUUAAUAAUGCAGUAAACAUAUAUUCAGAAGUCAAUUGCUCGUUUACAAUAAUAACACGAAAGCAAAAAUCAUUAAAUGUGAUGUGAUUUUAUAUUUUAAUAUUAAUAUUAAUAUUUUAUUAUUUUUUAUGAUAAUUCUUCAACAAUUAUAUUAUAAAAAAAUGAAUGUAUUCAAUAUAAACAACGUGUAAAUCACGUUAGUUAAAACUAAUUAUUUUAUAAUUUAUUUAUUUAAUAAAAUAUAUAUUCAAAAAUAUUUUUUUAAAUGGAUAUUCAAAAAUAUUUAAAACUUAGUAUUAGUUUUUUACAUUUUAUUUAAAUUUUUUACUUUUAUUUUUUUUUUAUAUCGAAAUUAAAUUAACUAUUUAUAACUUAAAUUUAAUUAAAAUUAAAAUUAUAACUGUAAAAAUUAAAAAAACCACUUUAAAACUAAAUGAAAACCAUUAAAAAUCUAAAAUCAUUUAGAACUAUUUUAAAUCCGACUGAUUUUAAUACUAUUCAAAAAAUAAAUAAAACUUUCAUUUUCAAACUGAAACCAGACCAAUAGCGGCCAUGGCCGCGUGUAGUUAAACCUUACCGUACGUUGCCUGAAAGAGCAAUCAACGAAAAUAAUUGUAAGCUGACCGUUUACUCUGUUAAAUAGUGAGGUUAAUCACUAGAGAAGCUAGACCGUGUGGUUACUCAAAUUGGGUUGACGGAUCAUCUAUUUCUCUUUCUUGGUUGCGCCAUUGGUCGAUCGAAGCAAAAAAUUUGUUGCCUUCCUCAUAUUUUCUAUGUAAAUCAAGCUUCUAAUCAUCAAGGUAUUCUCUGGUUUAUGCUUUUUUGAUCCAUAUGCAUAUUGGGUUUUCUCUCAUUCUCAUUUGAUGGCUUCGAUUUGUGAAAUCCUCUUCUAAGCUGAUAUUCAAUGUUAGUUUGAAAAUGAUUCUUUCCUUUAGAAGAGAGGUGAACUUGGGCUCAAUGAUCAAUUGUGUUUCAGCUUAGAAAAUUGUGAACUUAGGCUCAAUCACCUAUGGCAUUUAGAAAAGAAGGUAUAUAAAAACGCAAUUUAGGAAAAAAAAACGAAGUUUCAAAAGGGGUUCGUAAGAUGCAUUUGCUGGUUUGGAAGAGGUAGAUUUUCCUUGCCGUGUAAAUGGGUGAACUCGAGUCUUAUAUAAUUAGGGGUAUUUAAAAAUGACCCAUAAUUUGCUUCAAUUUAUCCGUAGUUAAACUAAAAUUAUACAAGUGUUGAUAGAUUGGGUUGGGUUAUUAUUGUUAUUAUUAUUUUUUCAAAUCAAAC